CAAAAUCAAUCCAGAGAAUGAAAGGAACGACAAAGCAUCAAUCUAAUAUAGUAUGAAAAGCAUCGCUCUCUGUUUUUGCGAAAUGUCAAUUUAACAAUUUAAAAUUCUAAAUAAUUAUUUCCAGAUUAAAUGCAUAUUAUGUGUUCUAUUAACAGUACUUUUUCUUUCGGGGUGAUGAUAUAUAAUGUUUUUUCGCUCAAGAACAAACUUAUUGAACGCAAAAGCUAUUUUCAUUAGGGAAUGCCGAAACCUAAAUCCCCUAUUGCAUAACCCAUUCUACCCAGUCUAUGGUAACACUUAGACUCGUCCAGUCGUUAAAACCACUGCCCUCGACCAGAAUCGAGCGUGUCGCAUAUCCGAGUUAGUAGCUGGUUUAUACAAUUCUUCAUUUUCCACCCUCCCCUCACUCAAUAACUUAUUGUAACGCGAUGCUUGCCGGAUUUGUGUUAUAUUCCAGUGUUUUCGAUUCCUACGAGCUCCCUUUGAAACCGGAAACGUCACGGCUGGGACUUUGCAGCAUGCGGAACAACGUUAGUCUGGCAAAAGUAAUAACCCAGCACCAUUCCAAGGCAUGUGUUGGCUAUUUGAUUGGAGCUUGUUCUCAUUACGCUACUGUCUACUGUGAAAGAACGUUAAGGGAUAUCGCAUGCUGAGAAAAAUCCACGCGUCAAAAUGUGCAAAGCUGCAGUUUUUUUUUAAAUAUUUUGUUAACAAAAAACUUACACAAUGCUUGAUGUACAUUAUAUUUCAGAACCCAUGGGUUUUAAUUUACCAAUGGGCAGAUACUUGUCGAUGUAGCAUGAUCCACGAUUAUGUUAGAGUAAAUUGGUCCUCGAUGCGUUACAGAAUUGAUGAAUGCCUAGAAACAUUUUGUGAAAAGAACAUUUUGGAGCCUCCGUUUGUCAUAAAUUUAGGAAUUGUGGCCGAGUUCCAAAACAAUACAUCAAAAUACACAUAAAUAUAAUUAUAACUAAUUAUGAUUACAGAAAGGGGAUAGACAAAACAAAAUGUACUGUGAGCUUAUACAUGUAUAAUAUCGUUAUCAUCCAUUUAGUUCGAUUGUUUCAGACUCGUUGAGAUAGUACUCAUACAAUGUUAUAAUAAAAACCACAAUACGAACGACCCUGUCAUCUGAUGACUUGUUCUUCUUUUACAUCUUAAAUGUGUUUGGGAGACCUUGUAAAUACAAACAAUUGGUAUCAAUUGUAUACUUAUUGCACUAUAACAUUAACAUGUGAAACGCGAAACAUUAUGUGCCCUAUCCUGAACUUUGUUGUAGUUUCUUGAAAUUUUGACGUUAACUUACAAAUCCCAUGAUUGUAAAGCUUAUUUUAACCGUACAUUUUAUAAUUUAUUUUUAUAUUCUUUC